rnacentral:lncRNA from 1 species
GAGUAUUUUCUGAAUUUUGAACAGUGAUUUUCCUCAGAUUUAUCUUUACAUAAAAGUAACUAAAUUUCAAUUACUUUUGAAAUUGGACUAUUUUUGAACGAUCAGUUGUAAAUCUGGUUAUUUUUUAAUUUCUCCCAACGGGGUUGGGUGAUAAGACAUGAUUAUAAAUGGAUCUGAAUCGAUAUUUUACUACAGAAUAUUGUUUA